CCUACGGGCGGCAGCAGUGGGGAAUAUUGGACAAUGGGCGAAAGCCUGAUCCAGCCAUGCCGCGUGUGUGAAGAAGGCCUUCGGGUUGUAAAGCACUUUCAAUGGGGAAGAAAGCCUUGGGGCUAAUACCCUCGAGGAAGGACAUCACCCACAGAAGAAGCACCGGCUAACUCCGUGCCAGCAGCCGCGGUAAUACGGAGGGUGCGAGCGUUAAUCGGAAUUACUGGGCGUAAAGCGCGCGUAGGCGGUCUGAUAAGCCGGUUGUGAAAGCCCCGGGCUCAACCUGGGAACGGCAUCCGGAACUGUCAGGCUAGAGUGCAGGAGAGGAAGGUAGAAUUCCCGGUGUAGCGGUGAAAUGCGUAGAGAUCGGGAGGAAUACCAGUGGCGAAGGCGGCCUUCUGGACUGACACUGACGCUGAGGUGCGAAAGCGUGGGCAGCAAACAGGAUUAGAUACCCGAGUAGUC
rnacentral:rRNA from 1 species